rnacentral:rRNA from 1 species
UACGAAGGGGGCUAGCGUUGCUCGGAAUCACUGGGCGUAAAGGGUGCGUAGGCGGGUCUUUUAAGUCAGGGGUGAAAUCCCGGGGCUCAACCCCGGAACUGCCUUUGAUACUGGUAGUCUUGAGUUCGAGAGAGGUGAGUGGAAUUCCGAGUGUAGAGGUGAAAUUCGUAGAUAUUCGGAGGAACACCAGUGGCGAAGGCGGCUCACUGGCUCGAUACUGACGCUGAGGUGCGAAAGCGUGGGGGAGCAAACAGG